ACGAACGCUGGCGGCGUGCCUAAUCCCUGCAAGUAGAACGCUGAAGGAGGAGCUUGCUUCUCUGGAUGAGUUGCGAACGGGUGAGUAACGCGUAGGUAACCUGCCUGGUAGCGGGGGAUAACUAUUGGAAACGAUAGCUAAUACCGCAUAAUAUUGACUAUUGCAUGAUAGUCAGUUGAAAGGUGCAACUGCACCACUACCAGAUGGACCUGCGUUGUAUUAGCUAGUUGGUGGGGUAACGGCUCACCAAGGCGACGAUACAUAGCCGACCUGAGAGGGUGAUCGGCCACACUGGGACUGAGACACGGCCCAGACUCCUACGGGAGGCAGCAGUAGGGAAUCUUCGGCAAUGGACGGAAGUCUGACCGAGCAACGCCGCGUGAGUGAAGAAGGUUUUCGGAUCGUAAAGCUCUGUUGUAAGAGAAGAACGAGUGUGAGAGUGGAAAGCUCACACUGUGACGGUAUCUUACCAGAAAGGGACGGCUAACUACGUG
rnacentral:rRNA from 1 species